rnacentral:rRNA from 1 species
AUUGAACGCUAGCGGCAGGCCUAACACAUGCAAGUCGAGCGAGAGGCGGACGGGUGAGUAAGGUAUGGGGAUCUGGCCGAGAGAGGGGGAUAACUACUGGAAACGGUGGCUCAUACCGCAUACUAUCGGAUGAAACCCUAUGGGAUUAGCGAGUGGGUGGGGUAAAGGCUCACCUAGGGGACGAUCUCUAGCUGGUCGGAGAGGAAGAUCAGCAACACUGGGACUGAGACACGGCCCAGACUCCUACGGGAGGCAGCAGUGGGGAAUAUUGCACAAUGGGCGCAAGCCUGAUGCAGCCAUGCCGCGUGUAUGAAGAAGGCCUUAGGGUUGUAAAGUACUUUCAGCGGGGAGGCGUUACCCGCAGAAGAAGCACCGGCUAACUCCGUGCCAGCCGCCGCGGUAAUUC